AUUUAACCUAACCUUUAAUUAAUUUUUUUACUGCUGUGUUUACAUUCUAUUUAAAUACUAUGCAAUUUAUUGACAAACAAAUAGCGUAAUUAUUAUAUAUUUUUUGAGGUUAAAAUUUGAUAUUAAAUUAUUGUCAUGAGUUCUGAAGAGAAGAUUCUAACAGAAGUACCUAGUAGUUUGAAACAAUUAGCAUGUCACGUUACACGUGGUUUUUAUGCAAUUGAAAAUGCAUUAAUUGUUGAUAAGAUUCAACUAGUAAAAAUCCAUCAAUUGUACAUUCUGGACUAUUUUAUUUAAUGAAAGAACCACCUGGUGAAAGUGAAUUGACUGGAGCAACCAACUUGAUGGCCUACUAUGGUCUUGAACAUUCAUACAGUAAAUUCAGUGGUAAAAAAUUAAUAGAAGCAAUUGUUUUUUGAGAUCUGUUAUUGAUAAACCACCAAUUAGAGGAAAAGAAUAAUUAUUGCUAUUAACUGGAAUGCAACUUUCAGGGUUUCGUUUACAUCCUGGACCUGUAAUUAUCAACUUUUUUAUUUAUAAUUUUGAUCAUCAUAAUUUGAUAAUUAUUGUAGAAUAUGUGGGAAUGUAACAUUAACUGGUCGAACAAUUUUUGUAAAUGAUUUAACUGAUGAUAAAAAGCAACAUAUUGAUGAAAAAAUAUCAUCAUGUAUUCCAGUGGAGAUUUUAUCGACAGAUGAAUUACCAAAAAAAAUUUGUCUUAAUUGUGCUAAAAAGCUAAAUGACAACAACUAUCAAAAAAAACAAAUAAAUUACUUUUGUCCAUGAAGACUAAAAAUGAUCCUAAAGCAUUUGAUAGACCAAU